GAAGUCAUGCUGCAGCCAGAGAAAGGAAAGCAUGGAGUACAGAGCGCCAGUUCCCAGAAGCUGUCUGCUAAGAAAGAAAGACUCCAGGAGGAAAAGCUCUCUGGCAGGACCCCAUCCUCUGGGUCCCAGUGAGGGUACAGUAUGGCAUUUCAAAGGCUUCCUGACAAACAACUCAGCUCUCUGAAUUCUACUCAGAGUGGCCCGUCACCAGUGUUCAAAAUCUUCUAAGUAUGUGAGUUAUAUCUCAAAGCUGGUAUGAAGAAGAAAAAUAAAAGCGUCUAAAGAAGCCAGGGUCUCGCCACCCAGCCACCUGCCCUGAGUCCGCAUUGUUGUCCUUUUUCCACUGCCCCAUCGAGCCCAGCACACAUGGUGUGUUUAUGUGAACAAUUAGCCUUGACCAGAAUAUGAGGAACUGGGGUACAACUAUUGUUGAGGACAUCACAAAAUGACAGCCUUCUUAUGUCCCUUGUAUGCUAUGUUCC
rnacentral:lncRNA from 1 species